rnacentral:rRNA from 1 species
GGAAAAAGAGGAGUGGCGAACGGGUGAGUAACACGUGGGUAACCUGCCCAUCAGAAGGGGAUAACACUUGGAAACAGGUGCUAAUACCGUAUAACAAUCAAAACCGCAUGGUUUUGAUUUGAAAGGCGCUUUCGGGUGUCGCUGAUGGAUGGACCCGCGGUGCAUUAGCUAGUUGGUGAGGUAACGGCUCACCAAGGCCACGAUGCAUAGCCGACCUGAGAGGGUGAUCGGCCACAUUGGGACUGAGACACGGCCCAAACUCCUACGGGAGGCAGCAGUAGGGAAUCUUCGGCAAUGGACGAAAGUCUGACCGAGCAACGCCGCGUGAGUGAAGAAGGUUUUCGGAUCGUAAAACUCUGUUGUUAGAGAAGAACAAGGAUGAGAGUAACUGUUCAUCCCUUGACGGUAUCUAACCAGAAAGCCACGGCUAACUACGUGCCAGCAGCCGCGGUAAUACGUAGGUGGCAAGCGUUGUCCGGAUUUAUUGGGCGUAAAGCGAGCGCAGGCGGUUUCUUAAGUCUGAUGUGAAAGCCCCCGGCUCAACCGGGGAGGGUCAUUGGAAACUGGGAGACUUGAGUGCAGAAGAGGAGAGUGGAAUUCCAUGUGUAGCGGUGAAAUGCGUAGAUAUAUGGAGGAACACCAGUGGCGAAGGCGGCUCUCUGGUCUGUAACUGACGCUGAGGCUCGAAAGCGUGGGGAGCAAACAGGAUUAGAUACCCUGGUAGUCCACGCCGUAAACGAUGAGUGCUAAGUGUUGGAGGGUUUCCGCCCUUCAGUGCUGCAGCUAACGCAUUAAGCACUCCGCCUGGGGAGUACGACCGCAAGGUUGAAACUCAAAGGAAUUGACGGGGGCCCGCACAAGCGGUGGAGCAUGUGGUUUAAUUCGAAGCAACGCGAAGAACCUUACCAGGUCUUGACAUCCUUUGACCACUCUAGAGAUAGAGCUUCCCCUUCGGGGGCAAAGUGACAGGUGGUGCAUGGUUGUCGUCAGCUCGUGUCGUGAGAUGUUGGGUUAAGUCCCGCAACGAGCGCAACCCUUAUUGUUAGUUGCCAUCAUUCAGUUGGGCACUCUAGCAAGACUGCCGGUGACAAACCGGAGGAAGGUGGGGAUGACGUCAAAUCAUCAUGCCCCUUAUGACCUGGGCUACACACGUGCUACAAUGGGAAGUACAACGAGUUGCGAAGUCGCGAGGCUAAGCUAAUCUCUUAAAGCUUCUCUCAGUUCGGAUUGCAGGCUGCAACUCGCCUGCAUGAAGCCGGAAUCGC